GACGAACGCUGGCGGCGUGCUUAACACAUGCAAGUCGAACGGAAAGGCCCUGCUUUUGUGGGGUGCUCGAGUGGCGAACGGGUGAGUAACACGUGAGUAACCUGCCCUUGACUUUGGGAUAACUUCAGGAAACUGGGGCUAAUACCGGAUAGGAGCUCCUGCUGCAUGGUGGGGGUUGGAAAGUUUCGGCGGUUGGGGAUGGACUCGCGGCUUAUCAGCUUGUUGGUGGGGUAGUGGCUUACCAAGGCUUUGACGGGUAGCCGGCCUGAGAGGGUGACCGGCCACAAUGGGACUGAGGUACGGAGCAGAGUCCUACGGGAGGCAGCAGGGGGGAAUAUGGCACAAUGGGCGGAAGCCUGAUGCAGCGACGCCGGGUGCGGGAUGACGGCCUGCGGGGUGUAAACCGCUUUCGCCUGUGACGAAGCGGGAGUGACGGUAAUGGGUAAAGAAGCACCGGCUAACUACGUG
rnacentral:rRNA from 1 species